UACAGAGGUCUCAAGCGUUGUUCGGAUUCAUUGGGCGUAAAGGGUGCGUAGGUGGCGCCGUAAGUCAGGUGUGAAAUUUCGGAGCUUAACUCCGAAACUGCAUUUGAUACUGCGGUGCUUGAGGACUGGAGAGGAGACUGGAAUUUACGGUGUAGCAGUGAAAUGCGUAGAGAUCGUAAGGAAGACCCGUGGCGAAGGCGGGUCUCUGGACAGUUCCUGACACUGAGGCACGAAGGCCAGGGGAGCAAACGGG
rnacentral:rRNA from 1 species